ACUAUACCCAUGCCUUCUCAUCUGAUGGCUUUAGGGCAUGGUCCAGUGAAGGUUCCCCCACCCCCAAGCUCGAGUCUGUGCUCAUCAUGUGAGUGCAGAGGUUCUGUUGCUCAGGUCUGGAGAGCUCCCCUCUCAACCACCAAGCUCGAUCUGUCCUAGAGCUCUUGCAUGUCGGCACCCAGUUUAGUGACCAGAUCCACCAAAACCCCACUUCACUGUGGCCAGACCGUAGUCGCGCCACCGCAAAUCGUUGUUGUGUUUAGUUUCUUCGUCGACCAGCCAACAUAUGUCUUCCUCGAGCAGUUUCAUGCACCCACCGAAAACUUGGACUGUGAGGAGAAGUUUAUUCCCUUAUCUUUUGGUUAGUUACAUCAUGUGGAGGCCUUGAAGCUUAGAAUGUUUAUGUGUAUCUCUUAUGGAAAGGCUUCACCCUUCCAAUUAUUAUAAUCAGUUAUGCACUUUGGGUACUAUCAGGACUUGUAAUAAUUACAAUUCUUCUUAUGUUGUAAAAUUUGAGCUUUGUAAAUGUAAAAUAUGUUUUGUAAAGUCUUCCGCUCUAUCUCCGAA